rnacentral:tRNA from 1 species
ACCCGGGCAGCUUAGUGGUUAAGAGUUUGGCUGCUAACAAAAAGGUCGGUAGUUCGAAUCUACCACGGGUG